rnacentral:rRNA from 1 species
CUAUGCUGAGAACUGAGACGAACCUGUACUUGUACGGGGGAGUGAUAGAUGCCAUGCUUCCAAGAAAAGCUCCUAAGCUUCAGUCAGUAAGGGAUCGUACCCGAAACCGACACAGGUGGUCAGGUCGAGAAGACCAAGGCGCUUGAGAGAACUCUGGUGAAGGAACUAGGCAAAAUAGUACCGUAACUUCGGGAGAAGGUACGCUGUUGAGGGUUAAGGAUUUACUCCGUAAGCCUUCGGCAGCCUCAGAAACUAGGCCGCUGCAACUGUUUAUUAAAAACAUAGCACUCUGCAAACACGAAAGUGGACGUAUAGGGUGUGAUGCCUGCCCGGUGCUGGAAGGUUAAUUGAUGGGGUUAGCUAACGCGAAGCUCUUGAUCGAAGCCCCAGUAAACGGCGGCCGUAACGAUAACGGUCCUAAGGUAGCGAAAUUCCUUGUCGGGUAAGUUCCGACCUGCACGAAUGGCAUAAUGAUGGCGGCGCUGUCUCCACCAGAGACUCAGUGAAAUCGAAAUCGCGGUGAAGAUGCCGUGUACCCGCGGCUAGACGGAAAGACCCCGUGAACCUUUACUGCAGCUUUGCACUGAACUUUGAUCUUACUUGUGUAGGAUAGGUGGGAGGCUUUGAAGCUCGGACGCUAGUUCGAGUGGAGCCAUCCUUGAAAUACCACCCUGGUAAUAUUGAGGUUCUAACCCAGGUCCGUUAUCCGGAUCGGGGACAGUGUAUGGUGGGUAGUUUGACUGGGGCGGUCUCCUCCUAAAGAGUAACGGAGGAGUACGAAGGUGCGCUCAGCGUGGUCGGAAAUCACGCGUAGAGUAUAAAGGCAAAAGCGCGCUUAACUGCGAGACCGACAAGUCGAGCAGGUACGAAAGUAGGUCUUAGUGAUCCGGUGGUUCUGUAUGGAAGGGCCAUCGCUCAACGGAUAAAAGGUACUCUGGGGAUAACAGGCUGAUACCGCCCAAGAGUUCAUAUCGACGGCGGUGUUUGGCACCUCGAUGUCGGCUCAUCUCAUCCUGGGGCUGAAGCAGGUCCCAAGGGUAUGGCUGUUCGCCAUUUAAAGAGGUACGCGAGCUGGGUUUAGAACGUCGUGAGACAGUUCGGUCCCUAUCUACCGUGGGCGUUGGAGACUUGAGAGGAUCUGCUUCUAGUACGAGAGGACCGAAGUGGACGAACCUCUGGUGUUCCGGUUGUCACGCCAGUGGCACUGCCGGGUAGCUAUGUUCGGAAGGGAUAACCGCUGAAAGCAUCUAAGCGGGAAGCCUACCUCAAGAUAAGGUCUCCCUGAGGGUUUAACCCUCCUAAAGAGCCGUUAGAGACCAUGACGUUGAUAGGUUCGGUGUGGAAGUGCAGCGAUGCAUGAAGCUAACGAAUACUAAUUGCCCGUGAGGCUUGACU